CUAAAACUCAAAUUUAAUCUUAUUUGUCCAACCUUACUUUGAUUUGUAGCAUUUCUGGGUCUUUGUUAAGGAAGUUCUGUCCUGUGCCAAUGAGCCCAAGUGUUUCUCCUAUUCCUUACUUUAGUGUUCUCAGAGUGUCUGAUUUGAUUUUGAGGUCUUUGAUCCAUUUGGAAUUGAUUUUGGUGCAGGGUGAUAUAUAAGGAUCUAGUUAUAGUUUGUUGCAUGUGUUGAACCAGUUUUGCCGGCACCAUUUGUUAAAGAGGCUA